CCUGUUCCUGUUUCAUUAAGGGAAAGGGGAUAAACUUUCCGUCUUUUGUCUGAAGCGAGUUCCAUUUGUGGAAGGAGCCAAGUUCUGAACAGAGCCACCUCUCACAGACAGCACGCGGCUCUCUUGUGGACUGGCCAUCGUUGCGCUUGUGAUUCCCUCCAUGGUAGGGGUGCCACCUUUAGUAAUGACUGCUUAUAUAAUGGCUACAAAAGAGCUGCUGAUAGACAGAGAGAAAAAAAGCCCAGGAAGAGAUCUGAGGGGAAGUACAAAGGCCCAUAAUGAUGACAAAGAUCUUCUGAACUGCAAAACAAGAGAACCAGAGAAUUUGCCAUUAUUUGAUAUAGUGGAAGUCAACUUGACCCAGUCAAAGAGUAGGAAUUCCAAGGAAAAAGAAGCUAUGAAGCAGCAGAGCCUUUUGAAUGGCUGGAUCUCUGAUGAUGGCAAUAUGCACAAUACAGAGCUGGAGAUCAGGAUACUGAAGUGGAGGAAUAAAGGAGAAAGGGAGAAAAACAGAAAGAAAAACAAUGGUAACUAAAAUUUUGAAAAGGCACUUUCCUUUAAUUGGAGAGUGGCUAGAUGAGCUGAUGUUUUACAUACAGAAAAUCCUAGCUUUGGUACCUUACUAGCAGAGCAACUUUAAUUAGAAUUGUUGUUGUUUAAUCGUUUAGUCGUUUCCGACUCUUCGUGACCCCAUGGAUCAGAGCAUGCCAGGCCCUCCUGUCUUCCACUGCCUCCCAGAGUUGGGGCACAUUCACGUUGGUAGCUUCAGUGACACUGUUCAACCAUCUCAUCCUCUGUCGUCCCCUUCUCCUCUUGCCUUCACACUUUCCCAUCAUCAGGGUCUUUUCCAAGGAGUCUUCUCUUCUCAUGAGAUGGCAAAAGUACUGGAGCCUCAGCUUCAGGAUCUGUCCUUCCAGUGAGCACUCAGGGUUGAUUUCCUUCAAAAUGGAUAGGUUUGUUCUCCUUGCAGUUCAGGGGACUCUCAAGAGCCCUGGAUUAAUUAGAAUACCUCUGUUCAAAUGUAAAUAAAUGCAUGCUCCAAUCAUAUUAGAUGGCA
rnacentral:lncRNA from 1 species